GGUGAGUAAUACUUAGGAAUCUACCUAGUAGUGGGGGAUAGCACGGGGAAACUCGUAUUAAUACCGCAUACGACCUACGGGAGAAAGGGGGCAGUUUACUGCUCUCGCUAUUAGAUGAGCCUAAGUCGGAUUAGCUAGAUGGUGGGGUAAAGGCCUACCAUGGCGACGAUCUGUAGCUGGUCUGAGAGGAUGAUCAGCCACACCGGGACUGAGACACGGCCCGGACUCCUACGGGAGGCAGCAGUGGGGAAUAUUGGACAAUGGGGGAAACCCUGAUCCAGCCAUGCCGCGUGUGUGAAGAAGGCCUUUUGGUUGUAAAGCACUUUAA
rnacentral:rRNA from 1 species